GGGGCGGUGGCGGAACGGUAGACGCCGGGGACUUAAAAUCCUCUGUCCGCAAGGACGUGUGGGUUCAAAUCCCACCCGCCCUA
rnacentral:tRNA from 2 species